UCCCAAAGUGCCGAGAUUGCAGCCUCUGC
rnacentral:piRNA from 1 species